rnacentral:lncRNA from 1 species
AGGUCCUAAUGGAAAGAAUAGGCAACAUACAAAAACAGAUGGGUAAUGUAAUCUGAGAGAUAAAAACAACAAAAAUAAAAAAUGAAAAAAAAAUAAAAGAAAAAGAAAGAAAGAAAGGAGGGAGGGAGGAAGGAGGAGAAAAAAUCAGAAUACCCAAGGACUGUGGGGCAACUGUAAUAAGUAUAAAUUAUGCAUAAUUGGAAUACCAGAAGGAGAAAAGGGAACACAGCAAAAUAAAUAUUU